rnacentral:lncRNA from 1 species
AAAGGACAUGAACCAUUUUGGCUGGUUUGCAAUGACAUUUCAAGAACAGGAUUGUCUGUGAAAGACCGGUUCCACAAAGACAAGCACUGAAGUCCAACAGUGGAAGAACAGCAUGACAUGGACCACAGCCCUGUGACAUUACAAGCGUGUAUUACAGCUGCCAGAUGGGCUCAGCUGACUCAUGCUCAGGAUCACUCCGACCAGCAGAUGUGAGGGAAGGAUGGAAUUUUGCCCAUGGUGUUAUUUUCUGCUUUCUUUCUGUACAACAGGAAAUAAUUUGCCUGCUGAAUGGGUCCAGUGUAUCUUUCCACGUCCAUUUCUUGACAAAUGAAGGACUCUCAGGCACCAGCAGCACCCCCAUGUUCUUUGCUUACGGUCACUACCAACCUGAAGAACCAGUCUUUUACAUCCUCUUAACAUUAUAGAAACAACAACAAAAGCCCUAAACUUUAAGUCUUUGCGCCAGCCCUAAAGCACACAGGCAUAACACAAGACCUAUGAUAGCCAAGAAGUCAGGCUCCAGCUACAGUUCUAAGAAGCACUGAGCUAUUUUUAACUCUUUAUUAUAAAGCCCUAUGGGGAUAGAUUCAUAGCGUUAUUUAUUAUCAUUAUUUUUAUUGUUAUUGGGAGAACACUAUUUUAAGGGAAAAAAGAAGCAUGACAAAUGAAGACCACGAUUUCUUAGGAUACCAGAAGUUCCCACUUCUUUAUGUAUCCUGUAAAUUAGUGCUCAUUUUCCGACAGAGGAAAAAAAACAACAACAAAAAAACUGGGG